CCGUCCACCGUCCACGCUGUCCUGUGAAUCGUUGACCCACGCAGCUGCAUCCCCGAAACCGUGAAGAUGGCGGCCAGGACCAUGCAAGCAGCCCGAUGCCCGACAGAUGAGCUGUCGCUGACUAAUUGUGCCGUGGUGAGCGAGAAGGAUCUGCAGUCAGGACAACAUGUGACUGUGAAGACCACACCCAACCACAAGUUUGUGUUCACAGUGAAGACCCACCACACGGUGGCACCUGGAA